rnacentral:lncRNA from 1 species
AUGAGCAUGGGGCAUGAAACUGGGACACAGUCAAAAUACCUGCUCAGCUAUCACUUCCUGCCAGAGGUCUUCUCUGACCAUCUUCCCGGGCCGGAGACCUCAGCCUCAACAUUUUCUCACCAUUGCUUGCUGCUGAGUUUCACGACUAUCUGUCAUCACCUUGUGUAUCUGCUCAAGUUCAUCUACUCAGAAGGUAUGCGCCCCCCACCUCCCACCCCCAACCCGAGAACAGGAGCUGGUCUUCCGGUGCCUUGAACUUUGAACCUGUUGGGUUUCCAGACACUCGGGGAUUGAAGGACCGGCCCACGAUUUGGUAGGUAUGUGUGUGCUCGGGUCUCCCUACGGUGAUUCAAACUCCUGCGUGCUGCCGCAGGCUCGGGGAACCUGGGGCGACAGGCGUAGGGCGGCGCACCUGGCUUUCUGCGGGGAACGGGACGCAGGGCUACAGGGACGCUGAGCCUGCACCCCGUUAGCCGCGCUGCAGCCUCAGCUGGAAAUCUCUUCUUAAAAACCAGGUAUUUGCAUCUCGUCCGGCCACACCCACCCUCCGCAUCCUUUCCCUCAGUCGGCGCGCCAGAUGUCUCACUUACCCAAGCCCUCCCGCCAGACCGCCUAGAGGCCACCCGGCUACGGACGGCCCCGAGAGGCUC